AGGCGGCUCGGUACGCCUCUGGUUAAAUCUAUGGGCUCAACCCAUAGGCCGCUGGAGGUACGGCCGAGCUCGAGGUCGGGAGAGGCGAACGGAAUGGCCGGUGUAGUAGUAAAAUGCGUUAAUAUCGGCUAGAACACCAAUUGCGAAGGCAGUUCGCUAGAACGAACCUGACGCUGCAAGAACGAAAGCGUGGGGAGCGAAAGGGAUUAGAUACCCCUGUAGUCCACGCCGUAAACGAUGUGUGCUGAGUCUUGGCAGUUUCGACCCUGCCAGGAUUGCCAACCUAAGCUAACGCCUUAAGCACACCACCUGGGGAGUACGGCCGCAAGGCUAAAACUCAAAGGAAUUGACGGGAGCCCGCACAAGCGGUGGAGCAUGUGGUUUAAUUCGAUGGUAAGCGAGGAACCUUACCAGGGUUUGACAUCCUACGAACCCCGCCGAAAGGUGGGGGUGCCCGCAAGGGAGCGUAGAGACAGGUGCUGCAUGGUCGUCGUCAGCUCGUGCCGUGAGGUGUCGGGUUAAGUCCCGCAACGAGCGCAACCCUUGUCAUUAGUUGCCAUCAUUUAGUUGGGCACUCUAAUGAGACUGCCGGUGACAAACCGGAGGAAGGUGGGGAUGACGUCAAGUCCUCAUGGCCCUUAUGGGUAGGGCUUCACACGUCAUACAAUGGUCGGUACAGAGGGUCGCCAACCCGCGAGGGGGAGCCAAUCUCACAAAGCCGAUCGUAGUCCGGAUUGGAGUCUGCAACUCGACUCCAUGAAGUCGGAAUCGCUAG
rnacentral:rRNA from 1 species